CCUUCUUUCUUUCGUUCCUUCCUUCCUUUCUCUUCCUUCCUUCCUUUCUCUUUCUUUCUUUCCUCAUUUAUUCAUUCAACAAAAACUAUGAAGUGGAAAUUUUGUGCCUUCAUAUUUGCAGAGCAGACAAGAGAGGAGAGCAAAGGCUUGUAUAACACAUUGGUACUCUGAAAUUUUCCAGGCCUGUUCUUUGCUGAGACCAGAGAAAUAAACAGUUUAUUCCUGUUUGAAAGAUCUCUCUCUCUACAACCUCUGAAAACAUCUGUAAUGAUGCAGGUGUGGUAGGGGACUGAUAAGCAACAUUUCCUGAACAUAGUAAAAUGCGUAAACUUUUACUACAUGCCCAAUCACAGGUAUGUGGGGUGAUUUUUGUAGACAGAAAGGAAAGGAUACUUCCAAAUGCCAGGUUUCACUGUAUAACAAUAAUUCAAUGGAAAACCUCAAAUUUUUCUAUGAAAGCAACAAUAUGACAAAUAUUAUAUUGUAUAUUAUUAUAAUAUUAUAAAGGAAUCAUCAGAUGAUCCUGCCAAGAAAAAAAAUACCUUGUAAAAUCCUGUGGCAGCUGUGUAGGUAAUAAUCUCACCUCAGAGCCUUGGUACAGGCUGUGCCCUCUGUGGGGAGCACGUUUCACAAAGCUAGUUCCCACUUUACCUUUCAGGCAUCAGAUUCAAUGCCACAUACCCAGAGAAGCCCUCAUGAACACCCUAUAUAUAGUAAAUGAGACUUUAUCUUUCCUUCUUUCAGAUUCGUGUUAAUCUCCUUCAUAUUUGUAUGGCAUUUUAAUUGCUUCAUUUUAUAUGUACUUUUGUCGGUCAUCCCAUGAGAAUAUCAGCUCAACAAGGGCAGGGACCAUGUCUCCACUGUCUUUCCAGUACCAGUCUAGUCCUGGCUUAGAGGAGACCCUUAGGGAAAAAGCUAAUGAUCUACAUUUAUAUGGAGAACACAUUCAUUUCUUUUUAAUACACAGGUCUACAUCUUGUUUGCUUCUAUGCCCAAGAAACAAGUUGCUGUGAGUUGAUUGUGGUGUUUGUUAACUUAUUGAUUACAAAAUCAGGCUGUGUCUUACCACUCUGGAUCCUUUUGAAAGAUUACAUUUUACCUCUGACAUAUUUUCUAUCUAACUCAAGUCUUUUGCAAUUUGUAAGGUGCUGAUGGUCAUCAAGGUCCCACCCAUUUACAGCCUUCAUUCCUGCACUAACAUACACACAAAGUUUUCAUGCAGACAAAACAAUAUUGUGGGAAUUAAAACAUCUUCAGUAACCUCAGAGAUGGAUGGCCUUACAGUGGCCAUGACCUCAAGAUUUUCUUGGGGCCCAAGUGUAACUAUGUAGAUCCUAAAUUCACAUUGGGAGCUUCACUCUUGGGUGAUUCUCCCAUAAGAACCUAAGAACCAAGGCAACCUCUCACCUAGAUACUAAUUCUCUGCAAAGCAGAGUAGAUGUGCAGCAUGAAUUGCUUUGCUGCAAAAUUGAUAAAGGAGAAAGAAUAAUAUGGUGGCAGAAUUGCUAUAUUUUCAUUUACUUUUAUGUGGUUUAAGGAGGAGAUUCCUUGCUUGUUAGAAUGUCACACAAACCAAAGACCACAGCUUUAAGCCAAAACUUGAGCAAAAUUACAUUUUAUAAAGUGCUUCUCUUCUCUGUAGACUAUUAAAUAUCAGGUAUCAGUUCUUUCUUCAGAAGUCAUCUGUAAAAUGAAUUAUAAAAUCAGUUGUACUACUUUGUCUCCAUGAAUUUUCAGGGUCUAAUGUAUAAUUUAACCAAAAUAGCAUGCAUCUUCUGGAAAAAUAUUGCUGAGAUUUAUUUCCUUUUUGUUUCUCAGACUUUCCAUGAAGGUAUAUAAUAGAUUUGGGACUAUUGUUUAACAAGUUAUUUGAAUGUCACUGGAAGUAUCAGAUCAGAUGUUCAGGAGGUGCUCAAUGAAUACUCAGGCAAAUCACUGACUCUUUCUAAGCCUCAGCUCCCUCAUCAAUGAGUGGAAUUAAUAACCACAUCAUAAAGUUAUUAGAGAAUUAAAUGAGAUACUGCUUUGUAUGCUGCCUGGUACAAAGGUUGCUAUUACUGUUUGCAUAUCUGAUCCUAUAAGCCUUUGUAGGUUACAGGGCUUUUGUACCUUCAACAUGUUCAUAUAAAUAUAAGACUAUGCAUUUCAUAUUUCAGUUCCAAAAAUGGGGUAAUAGUUGAGUAAAAAAACACAAAGAUGGGCUUAGAGACAAAUUGGAAGCUGUAAGUGAACACAGCCAUCCAACUAUGAGAAACAGUUCUGACACUUUUCAAGCCUUACCUCGCCCUCCCCCCAUUCUGUCUCAGAUCCGGACAAGCUAUUAAGAAGGCCCAGGUGCUGUGCCACAAGCAAUUCCAGACUUCUGUGGAUUCCCUCUUGUUCGGUAAAGUCUUACCACGGCAUCAUGGAGAUCCUUAGGAUAUCUUCCAGUGAACCAGAACAUCCAGAGAAUGACUCUGAGUGAGCGGCUACUGGCCCCCUUCUUCAAGAUGAAAGAAGCCUCUUCAUGGACUCCUCAUCCUGAAGCCACUCUACAAACGCAAGUCCUUGACACUGAUGUAACAUGGGGAACCUUUAAAACACCUGUCUAACCAGGCCGGCAUCCUCUUACAACACAACAAUAUUGCAUAUACCCCUAAUUCACAUCUGAUAGCCAUGACUUCUGCCAUUAACAAAAAUUCAAUAGGUGUAAGCCUAAUUCUACUCCUUGCCCUCAUUUGUCCAGGCCAAGCUCAAUAUUCAUAUUGGGCUCAUCUCCUUAACCCACCUAUAUUUGAUAGCUUAACACUCCUAGCCUGGGAUAUUCCUGUUAGCAAUAAUGAUAGAGUUCAUGGAAGGAGCCCAUCUUAACCCGCCCUUCCAAACUGAACAAGAGCAUUGGCUUUAUAUGCCAAGACCUCAAUGGUGGCUUCCUCCAGCACCUCCUAUGUGUGUUACUAAACUCAGCAAUUUAUCUGCUUGUCUCCAACUAAAAAUCAACUGCCUUUCACAUGCACAGCCAGCCCAAAACCUCUACAAAGCCAGACGAUUUUACCUUUUUCACAGCCAUAAGCUUUGAUAUACCUUAAAAAAUAAGCAUAU